rnacentral:rRNA from 1 species
UACGGGGGGGGCAAGCGUUGUUCGGAAUUACUGGGCGUAAAGCGUGCGUGGGUGGUUUUUUAAGUCCGUUGUGAAAGCCCUGGGCUCAACCUGGGAAUGGCAGUGGAUACUGGAAAGCUAGAGUGCGGUAGAGGGUAGUGGAAUUCCCGGUGUAGCAGUGAAAUGCGUAGAUAUCGUGAGGAACACCAGAGGCGAAGGCGGCUACCUGGACAAUCGCUGACGCUCAGGCACGAAAGCGUGGGGAGCAAAAGGG